GAUGAACGCUGGCGGCGUGCCUAAUACAUGCAAGUCUAGCGAACGGACGAGAAGCUUGCUUCUCUGAUGUUAGCGGCGGACGGGUGAGUAACACGUGGAUAACCUACCUAUAAGACUGGGAUAACUUCGGGAAACCGGAGCUAAUACCGGAUAAUAUUUUGAACCGCAUGGUUCAAAAGUGAAAGACGGUCUUGCUGUCACUUAUAGAUGGAUCCGCGCUGCAUUAGCUAGUUGGUAAGGUAACGGCUUACCAAGGCAACGAUGCAUAGCCGACCUGAGAGGGUGAUCGGCCACACUGGAACUGAGACACGGUCCAGACUCCUACGGGAGGCAGCAGUAGGGAAUCUUCCGCAAUGGGCGAAAGCCUGACGGAGCAACGCCGCGUGAGUGAUGAAGGUCUUCGGAUCGUAAAACUCUGUUAUUAGGGAAGAACAUAUGUGUAAGUAACUGUGCACAUCUUGACGGCACCUAAUCAGAAAGCCACGGCUAACUACGUG
rnacentral:rRNA from 1 species